UUAUGCCUUUGUCACUCUUAAGAAUUUCAAGAGUGUCCGAGUGAAUCCUUUUUUGUAAAGAUUGUUAUCUAUUAUACAAAAUUUGGUAGCCCAUCUUUGCAAUUUCUGCCUUUCCUUUUGAUCUUUCAGAUUAAUACAACUUUGUAUAUAUUCCAAGAUCGAUGUCAUUCAACUUUCUAGGCUUUCUAUCAUCAUGACAAGUCUUGGAGCGUGUAUUGGCAAAUAACAUUCCCCAUCCCUCUAUGCUCCUUGAUAUUAGACGAUUUUGACAAUAUGUCGGCUCUGGAUCAAUUCUUUAACUCAAUAUUCUACAUUCUAUUGGUUGACCAUCAACUUGGAGUCGCUAAACACUUUUAGCACUUGGACCUCGAUGUCAGCUGCUAUUUCUAGACCUGCAAGGUAUGCCUCAUAUUUUGUUUGGUUUUUUGUGAAUGGGAAUGCUAUUGUUAAUGCUUGUUCAAGCACAACUCCAUGUGCGGAUUCUAGCAAGAUUCAUGCCCCGCAUCGUGUCCCAUUGGAUGAUCCAUCAAGAAAUAGAGCCCAAGAUUUUGGAAGAUCCAUUUGACUAUGUGCACAGCCUUGGCAAAUUAAGUAACUGUUUAGAUGAAAGUUGGGAGAGUUCAAAACAAGUUUUUCUUUUUUAUUUUAUGCAUUAAAAUACACAAUAUUGUAUUUGAGUUCACAAAAUUAUUUGUGUAUCUUUAAAUCAAUGUUAUUAAAAUCGGAUUGAUCUCAUUGGUCAAACUAGCUUGACCGGAAA